UACGUAGGUGGCAAGCGUUGUCCGGAUUUAUUGGGUUUAAAGGGUGCGUAGGCGGCCUAUUAAGUCAGUUCUGAAAUAUCCCGGCUUAACCGGGAGGGUGGGAUUGAUACUGAUGGGCUUGAGUGGAAUCGAGGUAGGCGGAAUUGACGGUGUAGCGGUGAAAUGCUUAGAUAUCGUCAAGAACACCGAUAGUGUAGACAGCUUACUAGACUUCAACUGACGCUGAGGCACGAAAGUGUGGGGAUCAAACAG
rnacentral:rRNA from 1 species